ACUGUUGCGACUGGCAUCCGCAUCCGGUAGAUGUAGAUGGAACCAAAGUCCAGAAGUUACGCGUCACCCUUACUCUACAGCCAAACAUGCAGGACUCUAGUAACCCGCGAAAUGAUGGGAUUGCGUUGCAAAUCAUUAAAAGAGUCUUAUAAAAUCCUGGCUGACCUUGACUUCUCCACUGCAACCAUCGAGUUCAUUGCCUCCUGAACCUUGCCAUGGAGGCCUGUGGCACCUGAGCCAGCCAUUAUCAUCACCAGCACUUCCAUGAGCUCCAAGCUGGACCCACUGCAGUCCUCCUGAAACACUGAAAUCAGAGCCUGCACACAGAGCAGCAGAUGCUUCAUGUAAAGGCCAUUUUUAGGCCCUUGACAGGCAUGCAUCUGGGCCAGAUCCAUGGCAAUAACCUUCAGGUUGAGGCUGGAGGGCUUCAGAUGGGCAGCUUUGAAUGACAGGAGCAAGGACCAAGAGGCCGGAAAGGCAGGGUGACUUUUUCAGCAUCUAUAAGAUCAACUUUAGAAAUAUUUUGGGGUUGACAAAUUCCCAUUAAGCUCUGUGGAUCUUGUACAACUGCUGACCACUGGCUUCUCAUCAGCACAUGAUUGGUACAGGGUUCUGAGGAUGAUUUUGAGAUGUUCCCUGAUGUGGUCUUGUGAGGAGAUGUCAUGACAGAUGGCAGGAAUCUUCAUGGAGAGAUUUCUGAAGAGGCUCCUGAGCUCCCAACACCAGGCAACUCUCUUGCAGAGGAUAGUGGGGUGGAGGAUAGAAGAGAGGCAAAGUCAGGUUUGUCCUUCAGAUCCCCUUCAUUUUCCUUUUGCCACUGUAAACCAACUUUUGCUUAGAGUUGGACACCAGUCUUUGGCAGAUGAAAUCCCUUCUGAUUUCAGGCAUUUUGUCAAUUAAGCUGCUCAGCAACAAUAGGAUAAACUGGAUAAACUUGUGAAAAGAAAGGAGUAGCAGUCCCACAGACACAGCAUCCAGCCCCUGCACUGAGACAGUAAAGGGAAGGGACUUGGUCCUGGCAGACAAGACAGGUAAUCAACAUCCCAAUGGGCCUCACACAUGUGGGCAUAUUCUUUUCCAUACCUUCUUGUCUCUUUUAACAAGCUAACCCCAGUCACAGUAGCAGAGAGAGGGUCCAUCCUAACUUAGCUGACCGGGCUGGAUUCCUAAUCAUAAAACCAAAAAAGGAAGAACCUAACCAUUUAUCUCUUUCAGCUAUGUGUUCCAAGGUUACUGAAGCUGGACUCUGGCCUUCCUGAUAAGAGCAUGACCAGAUCCAGCUGGUUUGCUACAAGAUGAACUUCAGUGCUGAGCUUUCACCAAGUUUUUCUCAUUACAAUCUCAUUGUAAUACUAAAAUCUCCACCCAAGAUGGAGGUUAUCUGCCAUUUUCUGUACAUGUGUUACCAGAAAGGGGUCCUGAUCCAGACCCCAAAACAGGGUUCUUGGAUCUCAUGCAACAAGGAGUUCGGGGCGAGUCCACAGAGUAAAGUGAAAGCAAGUUUAUCAAGAAAGCAAAGGAAUAAAGAAUGGCUACUCCAUAGGCAGAGCAGUGGCUUUGGCUGCUCACCUGCUUGUACUUGUUACUUCUUGAGUAUAUGCUAAACAAGGGGUGGAUUACUCCUUGUUUAGCAGUUUUCUGGGAAAGGAGUGGGCAAUUCCAGAACUGAGGGUUCCUCCCCUUUUUAGACCAUAUAGGGUGACUUCGUGAUGUUGCUAUGGCAUUUGUCAACUGUCAUGGCGCUAGUGGGAGUGUCUUUUAGCAUGCUAAUGCUUGAGCAGUGAGGAUGACCCGAGGUCAUUUUUGUUACCAUCUUGGUUUUGGUGGGUUUUGGCUGGUUUUGGCUGGCUUCUUUACCACUUCUUUUUAUCAGCAAGGUCUUUGUGACCUGUACUUAGUGCCGACCUCCUAUCUCAUCCUAUGAGUAAGAAUAUCUAAUCUCUCAGGAAUGCAGCCCAGUAGGUCUCAACCUUAUUUUACCCAGCCCCUAUUCAAGAUGGAGUGACUCUGGUUCAAAUGCCUCUGACACAUGUGCCUCUUGUUUGGGCAUGAGACCUCACUGUGUAGGUGCAGAGGAGACCCUGCCUAAACAUUGCCUACACAUUGCUCCUUUUUCCUGCCUCAACUUCCUUAAAAUGACAAGAGCAGAGCCCUUUUGGGAGCUGACGUCAGGACUCCUUUUCUUCUGUACUCUGCUCCCUUAUGCUGUUAGAGCCACAAGCCUAUUAAACUUUGCCUGAAAU
rnacentral:antisense_RNA from 1 species